rnacentral:rRNA from 1 species
AUUGAACGCUGGCGGCAGGCUUAACACAUGCAAGUCGAACGGUAACAUGAAGAAGCUUGCUUCUUUGAUGACGAGUGGCGGACGGGUGAGUAAUGCUUGGGAAUCUAGCUUAUGGAGGGGGAUAACUACGGGAAACUGUAGCUAAUACCGCGUAGAAUCGAGAGAUGAAAGUGUGGGACCUUCGGGCCACAUGCCAUAGGAUGAGCCCAAGUGGGAUUAGGUAGUUGGUGAGGUAAAGGCUCACCAAGCCGACGAUCUCUAGCUGGUCUGAGAGGAUGACCAGCCACACUGGGACUGAGACACGGCCCAGACUCCUACGGGAGGCAGCAGUGGGGAAUAUUGCGCAAUGGGGGCAACCCUGACGCAGCCAUGCCGCGUGAAUGAAGAAGGCCUUCGGGUUGUAAAGUUCUUUCGGUAGCGAGGAAGGCAUUUAGUUUAAUAGACUAAGUGAUUGACGUAACUACA